GAUGAACGCUGGCGGCGGGCCGAAGACAGGCAAGGCGAGCGAACAGACGAGGAGCGGGCGCCGCGGACGGGAGCGGCGGACGGGAGAGGAACACGGGGAGAACCGACCGAGAAGACGGGGAUAACGGCGGGAAACCGGAGCUAAUACCGGAUAACAUGUUGAACCGCAUGGUUCAACAGUGAAAGACGGUCUUGCUGUCACUUAUAGAUGGAUCCGCGCCGCAUUAGCUAGUUGGUGAGGUAACGGCUUACCAAGGCAACGAUGCGUAGCCGACCUGAGAGGGUGAUCGGCCACACUGGAACUGAGACACGGUUCAGACUCCUACGGGAGGCAGCAGUGGGGAAUCUUCCGCAAUGGGCGAAAGCCUGACGGAGCAACGCCGCGUGAGUGAAGAAGGUCUUCGGCUCGUAAAACUCUGUUAUUCGGGACGAACAAAUGUGUAAGUAACUAUGCACGUCUUGACGGUACCUAAUCAGAAAGCCACGGCUAACUACGUG
rnacentral:rRNA from 1 species